rnacentral:ncRNA from 1 species
GCGUGGGUCGGCCCGCUGUACUGGAUCCAGUGGGCUGGGGGAACACCGCCGCCUUCAUCCCCGCGGGCGGCGGAACGGUCCGGGAGACGAGCUCCGCCUCCCGGACCGUA